AAGUUAUUAGUUAAAAUAAUAUUAGUUUGUCAGACUAAAGUUGAAUAAAAUUCAUAACUUG
rnacentral:tRNA from 1 species